UAGAGUUUGAUCAUGGCUCAGAUUGAACGCUGGCGGCAGGCCUAACACAUGCAAGUCGAGCGGAAACGAGAAUAGCUUGCUAUUCGGCGUCGAGCGGCGGACGGGUGAGUAAUGCCUGGGAAUAUGCCCUGAUGUGGGGGAUAACUAUUGGAAACGAUAGCUAAUACCGCAUAAUCUCUUCGGAGUAAAGAGGGGGACCUUCGGGCCUCUCGCGUCAGGAUUAGCCCAGGUGGGAUUAGCUUGUUGGUGGGGUAAAGGCUCACCAAGGCAACGAUCCCUAGCUGGUCUGAGAGGAUGAUCAGCCACACUGGAACUGAGACACGGUCCAGACUCCUACGGGAGGCAGCAGUGGGGAAUAUUGCACAAUGGGCGAAAGCCUGAUGCAGCCAUGCCGCGUGUAUGAAGAAGGCCUUCGGGUUGUAAAGUACUUUCAGUUGUGAGGAAGGGGGUAGCGUUAAUAGCGCUAUCUCUUGACGUUAGCAACAGAAGAAGCACCGGCUAACUCCGUGCCAGCAGCCGCGGUAAUACGGAGGGUGCGAGCGUUAAUCGGAAUUACUGGGCGUAAAGCGCAUGCAGGUGGUUUGUUAAGCAAGAUGUGAAAGCCCGGGGCUCAACCUCGGAACAGCAUUUUGAACUGGCAGACUAGAGUACUGUAGAGGGGGGUAGAAUUUCA
rnacentral:rRNA from 1 species